rnacentral:rRNA from 1 species
AGCGAACGCUGGCGGCAGGCCUAACACAUGCAAGUCGAACGAACUCUUCGGAGUUAGUGGCGGACGGGUGAGUAACACGUGGGAACGUGCCUUUAGGUUCGGAAUAACUCAGGGAAACUUGUGCUAAUACCGAAUGUGCCCUUCGGGGGAAAGAUUUAUCGCCUUUAGAGCGGCCCGCGUCUGAUUAUCUUGUUGGUGGGGUAAUGGCCCACCAAGGCGACGAUCAGUAGCUGGUCUGAGAGGAUGACCAGCCACAUUGGGACUGAGACACGGCCCAAACUCCUACGGGAGGCAGCAGUGGGGAAUCUUGCGCAAUGGGCGAAAGCCUGACGCAGCCAUGCCGCGUGGAUGAUGAAGGUCUUAGGAUUGUAAAAUCCUUUCACCGGUGAAGAUAAUGACUGUAGCCGGAGAAGAAGCCCCGGCUAACUUCGUGCCAGCCGCCGCAGUAAAAC